rnacentral:rRNA from 1 species
UACAUGUGGGGCAAGCGUUGUUCGGAAUUACUGGGCGUAAAGUGUGCGCAGGCGGCAGAGCAAGUCGAGUGUGAAAGCCCCGGGCUUAACUUGGGAAUUGCGCUCGAAACUACUUUGCUGGAGUGUGGCAGAGGAAGGUGGAAUUCCACGUGUAGCGGUGAAAUGCGUAGAGAUGUGGAGGAACACCAAUGGCGAAGGCAGCCUUCUGGGCCAACACUGACGCUCAUGCACGAAAGCGUGGGGAGCAAACAGG